UGGCUCAGAACGUUCGCUGGCGGCAGGCCUAACACAUGCAAGUCGAACGGAUCCUUCGGGAUUAGUGGCGGACGGGUGAGUAACACGUGGGAACGUGCCCUUUGGUUCGGAACAACUCAGGGAAACUUGAGCUAAUACCGGAUGUGCCCUUCGGGGGAAAGAUUUAUCGCCAUUGGAGCGGCCCGCGUCUGAUUAGCUAGUUGGUGAGGUAAAGGCUCACCAAGGCGAGCAUACAGUAGCUGGUUUGAGAGGAUGAUCAGCCACAU
rnacentral:rRNA from 1 species